GCCUGGCUGGCUCAGUCGGUGGAGCAUGUGACUCUUGAUCUCUGGGUUGUGAGUUUGAGCCCCACGUUGGGUG
rnacentral:tRNA from 1 species